UACGUAGGCAGCAAGCGUUGUCCGGAAUCAUUGGGCGUAAAGAGCGUGUAGGCGGCUCGAUAAGUCUGCUGUGAAAGUCCAGGGCUCAACCCUGGAAGGCCGGUGGAAACUGUCGGGCUAGAGUCCGGAAGAGGCGAGUGGAAUUCCCGGUGUAGCGGUGAAAUGCGCAGAUAUCGGGAGGAACACCAAUGGCGAAGGCAGCUCGCUGGGACGGUACUGACGCUGAGACGCGAAAGCGUGGGGAGCAAACAGG
rnacentral:rRNA from 1 species